UGUUUUGGGUGAAUUGUUCAAU
rnacentral:snRNA from 1 species